rnacentral:lncRNA from 1 species
CGUGGCCACUGACCUAGCCGCUUCAAGAAGGAAAAUGGCGAAGGUUACUUGGGCUGAAUAUUUUCAGAAGUGGGCAGAUUUCGUGGAUUGACGUGACAAGGGGCUGCUCUUCAUUCAAAUAUGGAACGUGUGUUUUGCAACAUGUAAUUUGAAAUGGAAAUCUGGACAUGUUAAUGGUAUUCCUUCAGCGAUUGCUGGCCAGCCAAAGACCCAUAUGGAGAGUACAGAAGUAUUUAUGAAAUGGUAGCAAGUUUGGUUCCAAGAACAGCAGCAUGCAUUUAACAAAUGAUAACAGCUCAGAAACCAUUUGUUCCCCAGUUGUUAUUCAGAUGGAGAAGUUGAUAUUUAUCAAGAGAAAGUAAUUUUUUAGUUUUCAUGGAACAUGAUUGAGCUAGAAAUAUCACUGAAAAUAGGAAUAAAUUCACAUCAAAGAACAAAUAUGGAAGUUGACAAGUUGUAUGAAACCUUGUAGAGGUACUAGAGAUUAACAGGUGUUUAUGAACAGGGUCAGUUGGCUGGCUGAUCCUAGAUGCAACAAGAUAAUAUUGGUAAUAGAUAUAUUGGAAUGAUUUUGUAAGUUCUCUUUUUAAUAAAAACUUACUUGCAAUAAGAAAGACAAGAAAUGUGAAGGUUCCGGAGGAUAUAGAGGAAAAAUAAUAUCUGUAAGAAAUGGUAAACAAGGGAUUUGUAUACAAAGGAUCUGAGGAAUGGGGAAGAUCGUUAACAGGGUAAAGGAUAUUUGAUUGAUCUUCAUGAUCUUAUGGAAAGAUAAAAUUGACUAUGUUGUGUAGGAUAUUUGAAGGAUCUGAAUGCAAAGAAAAUUGACAGACAAGGUAAAGGAUAUGAAAAAUCUGAAGUAGACAAUUGACAACAAGGUAAAGGAUAUGAAGAAUCUGAAGUGGACAAUUGACAGCAAGGUAAAGGAUAUGAAGUGGACAAUUGACAGCAAGGUAAAGGAUAUGAAGAAUCUCAAGUGGACAAUUGACAGCAAGAUAAAGGAUAUGAAGAAUCUCAAGUGGACAGUUGACAGCAAUGUUAAGGAUAUUUAGAAUCUGAAGUUGACAAUUGACAACAAGAUAAAGGAUAUUUAGAAUCUGAAGUGGAAAAUUGACUGCAAAGUAAAGGAUAUGAAGAAUCUGAAGAGGACAAAAAAUGACAGCAAGGUAAAGGAUAUAUAUGGGAUUUUAAGGGAAGAUAUAAGUGCCAAUUAAGUGGAUUUAAAGGAAAGAGAUUAUGAAAAUGUAAAGGAUGUACAAAGGAACUGAAAGGAAGAGACUAUUGGUAGUAAGAAGGAUUUGAUUUUGAAGGACAAACAAAAAUGAUAACCAGGAAAAAUAUAAUUGAAAUAACUGAACGGAGAAAGAUAAUUGACAAUAUGGGGAUAUACAAAAUUUAUUGAGGAUUUCAGGAAUGGCGAGAUAUGCUUACAAGAUAAAGGAAAGAGAAAACUCAUAAACUACAUAAAAAUUAACAAUCAAUGUAUAAAGGAUCUGAAGGACUAAAAGAAUUGUCAUUUUCAACAAGAAGAUCGAAGGCAAAGAGGCAGGUCUGUUAUUGUUUAACAAAAUGAAUACAGUAGUUUCUGUGAACUUUUGGAAGAGAUAUUCAACAGUGUGCCUUGAAUGCAGACAACCUGUAAGUAAUACAUGCUGUAGUGUUAUUUUAAAUUUUCUUGCAUUCCAGUCAGGAGUUUACAGUAUCUUCAACCAGGGGCAGAGGAUGACUCUGUUUCUUGAAUUACAUUGUUACAGAUUACUUUCUUUCACAUGAAGCACAAAAAAAAUCAUGUACCAUGAUAGUUGUUCUUUUCCUGAAAAGUUCUCAAUUCAGAAAAGUCACUUUUCAAUGCUCUGAUAUUCAUCUUUGUUGUUUUUUUUGUUUGAAUACAUGUAGGUUUUUUAAGGAAAACAUGUUGUAAAGAAAGUAAUUGUUCAAUUUUAGUUCUUCUGUGAUUUGUACAGUAUUAUGGUAUGCAAGAAAAAGAUCUUGCAAAAUGUAUCUCUGAAAGUAGGUAUAGAUUAAGUAAUAAGUUAUCUAGGUCUCUAGUAACUGUUUUAGUGUCAGCUCAGCAAACUCAUGUCAACACAUAUUUUUUCUUCAAAGGGUGAUUUUUCGCAGAUCCACCUACAACUUGUGAAAGAUUGUGAUGUGUUUGUAUCCAGCACUGAAUGGAAGUCUGUCACAUCUUUCUUAAUUGAAACUUUAUAAAAACAGCCUGUGACAGCCUUCCAUUCAAGGCCUUGGAAAAUUAUUACUACUAUAACAAAAGAAAUACUUACAUCACAAUGUCCUAAUGCUGUUUUGCUUGAAUUGUCAUGUUUCUGUGUUUUGUGAAACUGGUAUUUAAAUUGCAAAACUGAUAACUUUAUAAAGCUGAGUUAGAAACAUUGUGGAUAGUUAGUUUUAAUCGGAAUACAGAUGAAACCUGGUAUCUCAAACUCCAAGGUUUUUACUUUGACAUAACCAAAAUUCGACUUAAAAUAAUAAUUUGUGCAUGUUUCUUUCCAUGAAAAUCAUGUCUUCAAGAUAGCCUGAGUUUUGAGAUAAGCGAGUUCAAGAUUUCAGGUUUCAGCUGUAUAGGAGCCGUGCCAUGAGAAAAUCAACAUAGUGGCUUUGCGACCAGCAUGGAUCCAGACCAGCAUGCGCAUCCGCGCAGUCUGGUCAGGAUCCAUGCUGUUCGCUUUCAAAGACUAUUGUAAUUA